UUUCAUAUUAAUAAUUUGUCAGAUGAUUUAUCUUGAUAUACAUAUACAUAUACAUACUAAAUAUAUUAUCAUAACGUAGUGGAAUACAUGUCAGAGAUCAGAUGACACCCGAAGGUGACCAGAUGACACCCGAGGGUGACCAGAUGACACUCAAAAGUGACCAGAUGACACCCGAAGGUGACCACUGUGGGAUGAUCAGUCGCCACAGGCUGAUGCUUCUCUCAUCAGCUAGGUAUACAGAAUACUAUGUGCACAUAGGCUAACUACUCUCCGUUAGCAUGGAGUUACUGACAAGUCCUAUAUCAAGGCAUAAUAGAUAUUUACAGAAUCAUCAAAGAAACGUAUAUCAUAUCAAAUAGAAUUUACUUUGACAGAUUCUAAG